ensembl:lncRNA
AGUCCCAUAUUUUAGAUACAGUAUAUACAAUACCAUAAAAUGUGUAUUUUGUUAUGGCUCGUUAUCUCUUCAGCAGUAUGUGAAUACCUGUCAAUCACCCUUGAGGGAACACAAGGGCUGGAAUUUACACGUCAGUGCUGUGGUUGCUGCUGUCACAUUUCCCCUUGGAAACCUCCGCCGAGGACUUUCCCCUCAGCGAGUACAUAUACACCAGCAUCAGAGCAUGUCCAGCAUCACCUAUCAGCCUUCCCAUCUUGAAGAACACUUACGCAUCAGGAUCUGAGGACUCCAUCUGCAGCCUGAAGACAUGGCAAAGAUUACAGUCUCUCUCUGCGCACUGCUGGGGCUUCUGCUGGUCUUAGCUUCCGAGGGGGAAACCAGAGUAGGUACACCAAGCAGGGGAUGCUGCACACGAUUCAUCAAGGAUCUGCCUUUGAACAGAAUCCGUGGUUUCAUCGAGGAACGCCAAGGGAUAUGUCGUCUCAAAGCAGUCAAGUUCAUCACCGUAAAGGGUAAGGUUGUAUGUGCCAAUCCAAAUGACCAGUGGGUUAAGGAUGCCAAGGCGUUCAUCAGGUAAAGAGACUUUCUUCUCAUUGUGUUCCAUGUCCUUGGAUGAGGAAUUUCCCAUAACCAUUUCCAAAUUGCCAGUGAAUAGGCCUACAAAAAAGCAAUAUUGCCAAGACAAGUGACUUAUUUGUGUCCUUUCCACAGGACCCCAACUGUGGCACCCUAACCUGAGGACACCUGUGGUGUUAAUCGGAAACUAUCUUUCUGCAUCCAAGGGUUGCUUUUGAUAACUCAAAAGAGCUUUGCUCUAUUUGUGUCCCUUGAUGGGCUUUGUAAGGGAUAUAACUAAAUGUAUACUAUGUCCAAUGACAUUUGUGAUUGUAAUUCAAAGUAUCCUAUUGGUGAUAAACAAAACAAGUGUAUAUUUCUGAGAAAUAUGAAAUUGUAAUUUGAUGCGUUGAUGUUUUUUUAAUAAAGUUGUUGAGAA